ensembl:lncRNA
AGAUCAGAAGGAGAGAGACAAAGGGGGAGAUGGAGAAGAGACAGAGAGAUAAAAGAGAGAGAAGACGGGUGACCAUCCAGCUCAGACAAACCUGUCCUGCAGCCAAGUUGGCUGUCCUUAAAUCACACAAAGCAAAAUAAAUGAAGGCCAGGAUGCAGACAUGAUGUCCAUGUUGAAGCCUCUGGUGGAGACAGGAGUAGUGUGGAGAACACAUCCUACCAGCAGACUGGGAACGAUCAGGUGGAGAACACAUCCUACAGCAGACUGGGAACGAUCAGGUGGAGAACACAUCCUACCAGCAGACAGGGAACGAUCAGGUGGAGAACACAUCCUACCAGCAGACUGGGAACGAUCAGGUGGAGAAAGGAGUGGAGAACACAUCCUACAGCAGACUGGGAACGAUCAGGUGGACACAGGAGUAGUGUGGAGAACACAUCCUACAGCAGACUGGGAACGAUCAGGUGGACACAGGAGUAGUGUGGAGAACACAUCCUACAGCAGACUGGGAACGAUCAGGUGGACACAGGAGUAGUGUGGAGAACACAUCCUACCAGCAGACUGGGAACGAUCAGGUGGAGACAGGAGUAGUGUGGAGAACACAUCCUACCAGCAGACUGGGAACGCGGCUCAGAUCAGGG